rnacentral:lncRNA from 1 species
AUGCGGAAACAGAGGCAGAGAGGCCGCAGCAGCGAUGCAGGGGGGAACCCGGGCCCGGACCCCUCCCCCACAGCCGGGCCUGUUCCGACCCCGCAGACCCCAGUCUUCCCCGUCCGGGCUCCGCGUGCCCACGACCUCAGCAUCCCUCGCAGCCCAGCGCCCGCGCCUCCAGCCCGCAGCCCCCUCGGCGGCCGCGCCCCCGGACGGGGCGGCGCGACUCGCCCGAGAGGACACUCAGCGCCGAGCAGCCGCGCUCGGACCCGGGCCUCGCCUGCCACGUCCCGGCCGGAGCUGCUCGCGGGGCUCCCGGGCGGGGCGCGCGCUUCCUCGCGGGCCGGGUUUUGGGGGCAGCCACCGACUUCGGGGCGCAGUCGGGGCUGGCGCGCGCACCGAGGUCGCCUCCGGAACAGGUGGCGCGGGCCAGGGCGGUGGCCGAUCCCGGAACCCCUCCCUCCUGGGGCGCCCCCUCCCCACUUGGCCGCUCGGCCCCUAGUACCUUCGGCUCCCGCGGCGGCGCACCGUGGACACCCGCGCCGGGCGGGCGGGCGGCUGCCGGAGCGGAGCGCUGGGAGCCGGCAGGCAGGGCGGGCCCGGGGCGGGGUCUGCGCGGCCCCGCCCGCCCUUGCGUCCUCGCUGCCACCCCGGUACCCGCCCGCAGGCCCACAGGGCUGGGCACUCCGGGUGCUGCCCGGCCGCCGGCUCCGGGAGCCGGGAUCCCAUUCCACAGACGAGAGCCCUGAGGCUAGGAGCGGUCACUUUCAAUGCUCCAGGGCUGGGAAGGGCGUAUUGGCUGCCUCCCCGUGCUGCGGCCUGGCCAGCAGCUUGGCCUCCAUUGGCCCAGUGUCCGACCAAGUUUCAGGAGUUCGCUGGAAGCCUGCUUUCCCCGCUGGCUCCUGCCUGGUCAGCUGCACUUCCCAGCCAUACGCACAGCCUGCUGGCCCCCAGGACAGUGAGAACAGAGCGGGGCCGUCGGGCAUCGUGGGUGUCCGCUGCCUCCACUGGGCAGGUGGCGGGUGGCAGCACUGCCACUCCCUGCUGGUUCCCUCCCCUUCACCCGCAGGUGUGUGGCCCAUCUUAAAGUUCAAAUGA